rnacentral:rRNA from 1 species
AGAGUGAACGCUGGCGGCAGGCCUAAUACAUGCAAGUCGAACGGCAGCACGGCAGAGCUUGCUCUGUGGGUGGCGAGUGGCGGACGGGUGAGGAAUACAUGGGAAUCUGCCCAGUCGUGGGGGAUAACGUAGGGAAACUUACGCUAAUACCGCAUGCGCCCGUUCGGGGGAAAGCCGGGGACCUUCGGGCCUGGCGCGAUUGGAUGAGCCCAUGUCGGAUUAGCUAGCUGGCGGGUAACGCCCACCAAGGCGACGAUCCGUAGCUGGUCUGAGAGGAUGAUCAGCCACGACUGGAACUGACGACACGGUCCAGACCUCCGUAGGGAGCAGCGAGUAGGAAUAGUGGACAAUGGGCACAAGCCUGACUCCAGCCAGUCGCCGG